CUAUAUGGUCUCAUGUCCAUACUGAUACCAGAGGUAAUGCAGGCCAGCUGUGAUUUCACCCAGCUAACACUUCUUUCAUGUGUUGCCUCAUCUUUAUAAACUCAUUUUUACUUAAGACAGCUGUGUCAGACCUGAGCUCCCAGUGCAAUCUUCCUUCUACACUUGCAGAAUGAAUUCAGUCAGCUAGGUCCCAUUUAUGCUUGGUUAUCACACGAGGCUACAAACGGCUCUGUUUGUACCCAGCUGAUACAAAAAGUGAUGUCAAAAAUGUAACAGGAAGAAGGAAAGGAGCCAAUUACAAAAGCAAGAUGCGUGAGAUAAUCUUGGUCCCAGGACAGUGAAGGCUGGCAAUAAGGAACAUCUCAUCUAUCUGUCAGCUGGGGUCAUUUGAGGAGCAUGCUGCUGAGAAGAAAGGUAACACCUUGAAACACCAACUACAACUUUCCAGACCUGAACUAUGCAUCAGCCUCCCCUGCCCCUACGCCUUCAUUUCUAACAUGACAGGAAGAUUCCAGGUACAAUCAAGCUAACCCAGGUACAAACAACAGCUCAACCACAGCAGCCCAGCGGUCAGCCUGAACCCUUUACCCAACUGUCCAGUAUCCUGAUUUGGGAGAAUUGUUGCAGCCUUCAUUAAACCACAUGAAUAUGCAGGGAAGAGGAUGUCAUUAGAGAGAAAUCAAUGGAGACUUCCGAAAAGCUGCUCCAAACUGGUUUGCAGCUACCCCUUAAUGAGGGACCCCUGCCUUUCUGCUUGUUCUGCAGCAUUUGGGAGCUUUGUUUGUGCUUUAAAUGCUCUUGUGUAGAAGGUAGCAAAGCCAUCACAAAGAGGCCUGGAGCUUCAAGUUCAUUUUCACUGGCUGUAGUUUGUAAGAGCCUGUGGAUGAUGCAGUUCUGACACUAACGAAUAAAGUAUUGCUUCAACUGCUCAAUUUCAUGUGCUCCAUUCAGUGCAAGAAACGCAUGAAGAAUGGGAACAAGGUUUAAGAAUACUUUAAAAGUUUAUAAUAUGUGCUUUAAAAAAGCUUUAUCUAAAAAACAGCACUAACAUGGGGACUGUGCUGAGGCACAGUCAGGAUUAUUUGCAACAGUAAAGUUACCUCCUUCUUCCCACUACAUUUCUGAUCUCCACAAGCUCAGUCCUUAGAGGGAUGGGACCACAGCAUCCAUGGCAAUGACUGGAUUAGAAAAGUCUGAUAGGACUCAGCCUUUUCUUUUUUGUCCCAUCACUUACACACUGAUGCCUCUUCUGCAGAGCAUCAAUGAUUUUCUUCAGCUGGUGAAGCAAGGCAGGAAGCAGAGACCAGCAGAUCCCAUUGGAAAUACUCCAGGUAGUCACAGGACUUAAUUCAGCAUCAAAAUGACUGAGUAACAAGAUAUUCCCAUGCCUCAUCUAGGCUACAGCAACAGUUCACGUGUAUGACUCGCAGCACAUGCAAGAGAGUGAGCCACGAUAAAAGACUAAAACGCAUUAUCUCAUGUUAAUAUUGCACACAAACCACCACUGGUGUGUGGCUGAGACAGCUCACUGCUCCUGCAGCCACCUUCCAACAAUGAGCACAACACUGCAGAAGCUCACGAGAAGCCCCAAGGAGCAGGUAUGCCAACUCUCUGCCUCUCAAUCAACACACGUCCCACCAGCAAGGA